AACGAACGCUGGCGGCAGGCCUCAAACAUGCAAGUCUAGGGGGUGUAGCAAUACAUCACCGGCGGACGGGUGCGUAACGCGUGGGAAUAUACCUAUUGGUUCGGAACAACACAGGGAAACUUGUGCUAAUACCGAAUGUGCCCUUACGGGGAAAGAUUUAUCGCCAAUGGAUUAGCCCGCGUCCGAUUAGCUAGUUGUGAGGUAACGGCUCACCAAGGCUCCGAUCGGUAGCUGUUCUGAGAGGAAGAUCAGCACACUGGGACUGAGACACGGCCCAGACUCCUACGGGAGGCAGCAGUUGGGAAUCUUGGACAAU
rnacentral:rRNA from 1 species